GGGGAUGUAGCUCAGUGGUACAGUGCAUGCUUUGUAUGUAUGAGGCCCUGGGUUUGACCCCUGGCAUCUCCA
rnacentral:tRNA from 2 species